GAACGAGAAAGUGGAGCAAUACAUGAGUAAAGUGGCGACCGGGUGAGUAACACGUGACUAACCUACCUCCGAGUGGGGAAUAACUCCGGGAAACCGGGGCUAAUACCGCAUAACAUCGCAAGAUCAAAGCAGCAAUGCGCUUGGAGAGGGGGUCGCGGCUGAUUAGCUAGUUGGCGGGGUAACGGCCCACCAAGGCGAAGAUCGGUAUCCGGCCUGAGAGGGCGCACGGACACACUGGAACUGAAACACGGUCCAGACUCCUACGGGAGGCAGCAGUGGGGAAUUUUGCGCAAUGGGGGAAACCCUGACGCAGCAACGCCGCGUGGAGGAUGAAGCCCCUUGGGGCGUAAACUCCUUUCGACCAAGACGAUAAUGACGGUACUGGUGGAAGAAGCACCGGCUAACUCUGUG
rnacentral:rRNA from 1 species